GCCGGGCGUGGUGGCGUGCGCCUAUAGUCCCAGCUACUUGGGAGGCUGGGGCUGGAGGAUCGCUUGAGCUCAGGAGUUCUGGGCUGCAGUGCGCUAUGCCGAUCGGGUGUCCGCACUAAGUUCGGCAUCAAUAUGGUGACCUCCCGGGAGCGGGGGACCACCAGGUUGCCUAAGGAGGGGUAAACUGGCCCAGGUCGGAAACAUGAUCCACAUCUAAAGAAGAUGGUGCAUAAGCAACACUAUGAGAAGUGAAUGCUGUUCUCAAAGAUACACAUUUAUCCACU
rnacentral:SRP_RNA from 1 species